GCAGUGGUGGUUUAGUGGUAGAAUUCUUACCUUCCAUGCAGGAAACCAGAGUUCGAUUCCUGGCCAAUGUA
rfam:Loxodonta africana unplaced genomic scaffold scaffold_84, whole genome shotgun sequence.